rnacentral:snoRNA from 1 species
CUGCAGCCAAUGAAGCCAACGGUGCUGUUUCCACAUAUGGGGGCCUGGUGUGCCACGACUGCAAACAGUAGCUUCUUUGGUAGUGUAUGAAGCCUGUUGCUUAUAGGGCUUGCCCCAGGGGACCUUGGAGACAGAG